CCCGUCUCAGAAUAAAAUUUGGCCAGCUUAGCUGUCCGUGUGGCUCUGCUGAGGGAUUAUAGUCUUCCAGCCAAAUUGGGUCUUGUCCACAAUGAUCUGAAAGCCAAUUUUCUGAAUAAAUCAUAAAAUUGCUCCAGAGUUGGUAUAUUUACCCAAAAGCUCCUCUUCUAUUGCUGUGCACACAUAAUAGCUGUGAAUGUACUUUGCAUUUUAUAGUAUUUUAUAAUGUUGUGUUUCCCAAAGCAUGCUCUGGGGAACAGCAGGGUGAUGGGGUGUUCUGUGGGAAAAGAAUUUCCUGGGCCGAAUAAGGUUGGAAACUACCUGCUCUUGGAUGUGUAUUUACACAUCAGCUGAGUCUAAAAUAAAGACAUCUGGAUAACUUGCUUUAAUGUCACAUUGGCCAAAUUCAGUUACCCAUGGAAACAUCCUAUCUGUGCACUGUAGCAGCUAGAAGCAUGGGGGAGGAGCAGGGAAAGAGGUGGUACUUAGAAAAUAUGGCACUGUGUUACCCGUUAAAAGCUCAAGGUAUCUCCUUAAGGACGGAGUCUGGCAGAGUCUGAGUCUUGCUCUCCUUUGUUUUUUUCCCUCCUGCAGCCAGCUCAAUGCUUCAGAAAUACUUGUUGAGCUCAGCUCAGCUCGGCUUAGUUAAUUGAGUUAAGGCGAGCUGAGUCGUACUGAAUGCACCAGCUGGCUGGCCUGGAGGAGAUCCAAGCUGAAGAUGUUAAGAAUCACACUAAUUCAAUAAGCGGCUGCAAGGUAGUCUAAGUAACGAGCCCACGUGCCUUUCCUUACCCGAAUUACCCGUGUUCCACCAGCACCUUGCGAGCCUUCUCUCUCUGGAAUCCCCUGUGUGUUUGCUGGAGACACCAGGCAAGAAAGUGUAGGAAAGGAGAAAGGAAGCAGAGAACUUUCUGUCUGUCUGGGUACAGGUGCGGCUACAACUACAUCUUCCGUGUCUAAAACCCUCAUCAUGCACCUCGCGUAGCAAUGUAACCAAGAGCUCACACUCUUGACUCUGAUUGCCAGAGUCUGGAGCUGGUGAGCACC
rnacentral:lncRNA from 1 species